GUCUGGAUGUGCUCUGAGCAGGAGCACAUGGGCUUUGCAGGCCACGAAACAGCAAGAGUAAGGACAAGGUGAACACGAUAGGUUGAUGCAGUGCAUUAAUGCUCAUGAGCGGUUUAGAGAAGCAGUCAGAGAUGAGAGGAUGGCAGCUAGCUGAAAGAUAAGGACAGACAAUGGAAGACCUUGAGUGGCUGGAUGUAGAUCGAGUGACAUUGCAUAGGUUGAACAGGUGUUUUAUACAGUUAAUGAAAUCCAUUUUUGUUUUGUUAACUUUUAGCAUUUUUUAAAAGUAUAUAUUGUAUAUAACAUUCUUGGUAGAAAAG
rnacentral:lncRNA from 10 species